UACGUAGGGGGCAAGCGUUGUCCGGAUUUAUUGGGCGUAAAGAGCGUGUAGGCGGCUAGAUAGGUCCGUUGUGAAAACUCGAGGCUCAACCUCGAGACGUCGAUGGAAACCAUCUGGCUGGAGUCCGGAAGAGGAGAGUGGAAUUCCUGGUGUAGCGGUGAAAUGCGCAGAUAUCAGGAAGAACACCCGUGGCGAAGGCGGCUCUCUGGACCGAGACUGACGCUGAGGCGCGAAAGCGUGGGGAGCAAACAGG
rnacentral:rRNA from 1 species